CCUACGGGUGGCUGCAGUGGGGAAUAUUGGACAAUGGGCGAAAGCCUGAUCCAGCCAUGCCGCGUGUGUGAAGAAGGCCUUCGGGUUGUAAAGCACUUUCAGUGGGGAAGAAAGCCUUGGGGCUAAUACCCUCGAGGAAGGACAUCACCCACAGAAGAAGCACCGGCUAACUCCGUGCCAGCAGCCGCGGUAAUACGGAGGGUGCGAGCGUUAAUCGGAAUUACUGGGCGUAAAGCGCGCGUAGGCGGUCUGAUAAGCCGGUUGUGAAAGCCCUGGGCUCAACCUGGGAACGGCAUCCGGAACUGUCAGGCUAGAGUGCAGGAGAGGAAGGUAGAAUUCCCGGUGUAGCGGUGAAAUGCGUAGAGAUCGGGAGGAAUACCAGUGGCGAAGGCGGCCUUCUGGACUGACACUGACGCUGAGGUGCGAAAGCGUGGGUAGCAAACAGGAUUAGAUACCCUAGUAGU
rnacentral:rRNA from 1 species